UACAGAGGUCCCGAGCGUUGUUCGGAUUCAUUGGGCGUAAAGGGUGCGUAGGCGGCGGGGAAAGUCUGAUGUGAAAUCCUGGGGCUCAACCCUGGAACUGCAUUGGAUACUUCCUUGCUAGAGUACUGGAGAGGAAACUGGAAUUUACGGUGUAGCAGUGAAAUGCGUAGAGAUCGUAAGGAAGACCAGUGGCGAAGGCGAGUUUCUGGACAGUUACUGACGCUGAGCACGAAGGCCCAGGGGGAGCAAAACGGG
rnacentral:rRNA from 1 species